rnacentral:miRNA from 1 species
UGGAAAAAGGAGGUGCAUUCUUGU